rnacentral:rRNA from 1 species
UACAGAGGUCUCAAGCGUUGUUCGGAUUCAUUGGGCGUAAAGGGUGCGUAGGCGGCGCGGUAAGUCGGGUGUGAAAUCUCGGAGCUUAACUCCGAAACUGCAUUCGAUCCUGCCGUGCUUGAGGACUGGAGAGGAGACUGGAAUUUACGGUGUAGCGGUGAAAUGCGUAGAUAUCGUAAGGAAGACCAGUGGCGAAGGCGGGUCUCUGGACAGUUCCUGACGCUGAGGCACGAAGGUCAGGGGAGCAAACGGG